UGACCUCGGAUCAGGUAGGGAUACCCGCUGAACUUAAGCAUAUCAAUAAGCGGAGGAAAAGAAACCAACAGGGAUUGCCUCAGUAACGGCGAGUGAAGCGGCAACAGCUCAAAUUUGAAAGCUGCCAACCGGCCGCGUUGUAAUUUGUAGAAGCUGCUUUGGGUGUCGGCCCGGUCUAAGUUCCUUGGAACAGGACGUCACAGAGGGUGAGAAUCCCGUAUGUGAUCGGUGCCGGGGCCCGUGUAAAGCGCUUUCGACGAGUCGAGUUGUUUGGGAAUGCAGCUCAAAAUGGGUGGUAAAUUUCAUCUAAAGCUAAAUAUUGGCCAGAGACCGAUAGCGCACAAGUAGAGUGAUCGAAAGAUGAAAAGCACUUUGGAAAGAGAGUUAAACAGUACGUGAAAUUGUUGAAAGGGAAGCGCUUGCAACCAGACUUGCGGGCGAUCGAUCAUCCGAGGUUCUCCCCCGGUGCACUCGAUCGUCUCCAGGCCAGCAUCGGUUUCGGGGGUGGGAUAAAGGCUGUGGGAAUGUGGCCCUUCGGGGUGUUAUAGCCCACGGUGCAAUGCCGCCUCCCGGGACCGAGGACCGCGCUCGGCUAGGAUGCUG
rnacentral:rRNA from 1 species